rnacentral:rRNA from 1 species
AUCACAUGGGCGCAGCCUGAUCCAGCAAUGCCGCGUGAGUGAAGAAGGCCUUCGGGUUGUAAAGCUCUUUUGUCAGGGAAGAAACGGCUGCGGCUAAUAUCCGCGGCUAAUGACGGUACCUGAAGAAUAAGCACCGGCUAACUACGUGCCAGCAGCCGCGGUAAUACGUAGGGUGCAAGCGUUAAUCGGAAUUACUGGGCGUAAAGCGUGCGCAGGCGGUUUUGUAAGUCUGACGUGAAAGCCCCGGGCUCAACCUGGGAAUUGCGUUGGAGACUGCAAGGCUUGAAUCUGGCAGAGGGGGGUAGAAUUCCACGUGUAGCAGUGAAAUGCGUAGAGAUGUGGAGGAACACCGAUGGCGAAGGCAGCCCCCUGGGUCAAGAUUGACGCUCAUGCACGAAAGCGUGGGGAGCAAACAGGAUUAGAUACCCUGGUAGUCCACGCCCUAAACGAUGUCUACUAGUUGUCGGGUUUUAAUUAACUUGGUAACGCAGCUAACGCGUGAAGUAGACCGCCUGGGGAGUACGGUCGCAAGAUUAAAACUCAAAAAAAAUUGACGGA